CAACCAAGAUUCAGCAGAAACACACUUUCAGAGUCCUGCCAACUCCACCUGACACCAAACCACUUUCCGUCACAGUCAUGGUGCGUUCGCGUGCUCCUCGGAUGGUCCCAUUUCCUGAGGUGUGAAGUUGUUCUUUAGACUUCAGUGUGUGUUAAUGUGCUCUUAAGUUGGAAUGUGGUAACAACAUGGACGCUACUACAAAGAUGUGUUGGAUUGUUGUCAUCAAAGUGUGGUGAAAGAGGUUAAAACUUUCUAUUACAAUUUAUUUUUAGAUUUGUUUCCAACAGCACCAGUACAUUACCUGAAACUACUGACAUAUUGCUUUUACUGCAAAUAAAUAACUUUCCUAAUUAAUUUUGGACACACUACAUGGACAGGAAACAAACCUAAACUAACCUAAUACCAUAUUACGAAUUACGCGUUAGCAAGAAAUGUUUCAAACCAUCUGCCAUGUUUGUCCACCAUGUUUCCAUGUAUAUGAUGUCAACAACCUGGCAACUUGUGCACCAAAAUGUUCUCAGACUUUCCGAGUUGUUGUUCUGACUUCAGGGGGCGUUCACGUGAAGUUUCCCAGUUGGGAAAUAAUUCAUCCGAUUAUUCCGACACCAUUUGAAUGCACAGUCACAUGCUCUCAAUGCACUUAAGGGUUAAGUUCUGAGAAGUCCUAGAGUCCUGAGAAAGAAAGAAACAUAAACAAUCACACAUGAAGUGGACUUUAACGCACACCUGUUGGACUGGAUCGCUGACGUUGGACACAAAGACCUGUUGAGACUUUUCUGUCUCCGAUAAAAGAGAAACUGUUGAACUUUAUUUUCUUCUGCUUCGGUUCCUGUGAAGGUUUUUACCACAAAGUUGCAGCUGAUCACAAUCAGACCUGCAGGUUCCUGAUCAUCCAUCAGUUUCAGGACAGACUUUACUUUCAGUUCAUUUCUAUGUAAAACAACCUGCACAGAGGAAACCCAUCGCUUUCUGUUAUCUGACUGCAUCAGGGCUGUAAAACCAAACGGGAUUAAAUCAGAUUCUGAUUUAAUAGCUCUUUAACAAAUCCACUGCGAUAUGUGUCAGUAACCAACUACCCCACCCGCCUGGGACUACAGGGUGAUAGAAACAAACACUAACUCCGCAGGCUAUCCAGGUGUGACCAAGGCUUAAUGUUUACAGGGCAGAGCUCUGACGGGGAAGUUGGUGUAAAUGCUCUCGUCUCUCACCGACUGCGAUCACGUUUCCCAAAAUCAGUCUAAGCUUACCAUCGCUCUGCUGUUAACCAACAAAUCAGAGACGAAAAUUUUAAAAAGUACAAGCUUCAUGUCUGAGCACCCAAUCAGGAUCUCUCUGCCUCCAGACCGACCAAUAGAUGUUGUCUCCGACCUCCGGGCGCUGUGUUGAAUCAGUUAGGGAGACUAAUCAUUAUCUCUGAUGUCCAUCCAGAAUAAACAGCCAGACAUUUCCGCUCAGGUCUUUAUACACGCUAACAGAAAACAAGGUGGAUGGAAACACACUUAUUAGUAACAUGCUGGAAGCUAACAUUAGCUAAUUAGCAGUGCAGGUUGGAGGAAUAACUUCUUUUACGAUCCUUUCUUAUGUCUUUUAUCAAUCAUUAUCAAACACUUGGUUCAGUAAUGAAGGAGUGUUUAUACCCAGGGCUGGUGGCGAGCCUGAACCUGAUUAGCUUACAGUGUCAACAUAAACAGUGUUGCUGGGUUAACUUCAUCAACGCAAAAACUGUGAAGAAAAAUAGUUGUUGACAGUAUGUUUUAUCAAAACUUAAAGGACAAAUGAAGUGAUUACUGUUUUAAUGUAAAAUUAAAAGUUGAUUUAGAUGCUUGACCAGUUUGACCAGAAGCUUGUUAUCCAGUAAGUAACAGCCCAUUCUCAUUCUCAUGGCGUCAGAUAGUAUGUGUUGUCAGUUCCUUUAGCAUCUGUUACCAACAUUGUUCUACGCUAACCGGAGGCCUGUUUUUUAAAUACAGAAAAGUCAGACUGUGGUCGGGGUGGACUGGUUAGAAAAAUGGCUUUCAUCCAGGAGACCAAUGUUCGUUUUCUGUGUGAAACAAAAAGUCAACAUUGCACCACGAUACUGAAACUAAGUCUAAAUUGGGCCGAACAGAUGAAGGCUGGAGUGUUACUGGAUGUGAUUGGUUGGUCUGGACUCUAACCGACCCUCACAGUUUGAAAACAGGUAAACAAAGUGUUUAUUAAAUUUGAGAUGUUGUUUGGGAAACGUGA